rnacentral:rRNA from 1 species
AGGAUGAACGCUGGCGGCGUGCCCAACACAUGCAAGUCGAACGUCCUGUCUCGCAAGAGGCAGGGAGUGGCGGACGGGUGAGUACCACGUGGGUUAUCUACCGUGAGGUGAGGAAUACCGGCGAGAAAUCGCCGACAAGACCGCAUAGCCUCGGUGCAAGCCGAGCAAAGCUCUUUCGAGAGAGGGAGCGCCACACGAGGAGCCUGCGCCCGAUUAGCUAGCUGGUGGAGUAACGGUUCACCAGGGCGACGAUCGGUAGCUGGUCUGAGAGGACGAUCAGCCACACUGGGAUUGAGAACGGCCCAGACUCCUACGGGGGGCAGCAGUGAGGAAUUUUCGUCAAUGGGGCAACCCUGAACGAGCAACGCCGCGUGCAGGAAGAAGGUUUCGGAUCGUAAACUGCUUUUCUCGGGGAAGAGAACGGACGGUACCCGAGGAAUCGAGCCCCGGCUAACUACGCGCCAGCAGCCGCGGUAA